GCAUGUGAGGGCGAUCUGGCUGUGACAUCCAUCACCCUAUUGAUCGCCAGGGUUGAUUCGGCUGCUCUGGCUGGCUAGGCGGGUGUCCCCUUCCUCCCUCACCGCUCCAUGUGCGUCCCUCCCAAAGCCGCGCGCUCGGUCGAAGAGGACGGCCUUCCCCGAAUAGAGACGGACCGGUUCUCGGUCGAGGGUAUACGAGUAGCUGCGCUCCCCUGCUAGAACCUCCAAACAAGCUCACAACUUAGUCUCCCUCCAUGGUUCUCCCUCAGAUGGACAGGGGUAAGCACCACUUAACAGUGCCAGUGUUGUCACU
ensembl:misc_RNA 7SK 7SK RNA